rnacentral:rRNA from 1 species
AGAGUUUGAUCAUGGCUCAGGAUGAACGCUGGCGGCGUGCCUAACACAUGCAAGUCGAGCGAUUCUCCUCGGAGAAGAGCGGCGGACGGGUGAGUAACGCGUGGGUAACCUGCCCUGUACACACGGAUAACAUACCGAAAGGUAUGCUAAUACGAGAUAAUAUGCUUUUAUCGCAUGGUAGAAGUAUCAAAGCUCCGGCGGUACAGGAUGGACCCGCGUCUGAUUAGCUAGUUGGUAAGGUAACGGCUUACCAAGGCGACGAUCAGUAGCCGACCUGAGAGGGUGAUCGGCCACAUUGGAACUGAGACACGGUCCAAACUCCUACGGGAGGCAGCAGUGGGGAAUAUUGCACAAUGGGCGAAAGCCUGAUGCAGCAACGCCGCGUGAGCGAUGAAGGCCUUCGGGUCGUAAAGCUCUGUCCUCAAGGAAGAUAAUGACGGUACUUGAGGAGGAAGCCCCGGCUAACUACGUGCCAGCAGCCGCGGUAAUACGUAGGGGGCUAGCGUUAUCCGGAAUUACUGGGCGUAAAGGGUGCGUAGGUGGUUUCUUAAGUCAGAGGUGAAAGGCUACGGCUCAACCGUAGUAAGCCUUUGAAACUGGGAAACUUGAGUGCAGGAGAGGAGAGUGGAAUUCCUAGUGUAGCGGUGAAAUGCGUAGAUAUUAGGAGGAACACCAGUUGCGAAGGCGGCUCUCUGGACUGUAACUGACACUGAGGCACGAAAGCGUGGGGAGCAAACAGGAUUAGAUACCCUGGUAGUCCACGCCGUAAACGAUGAGUACUAGCUGUCGGAGGUUACCCCCUUCGGUGGCGCAGCUAACGCAUUAAGUACUCCGCCUGGGAAGUACGCUCGCAAGAGUGAAACUCAAAGGAAUUGACGGGGACCCGCACAAGUAGCGGAGCAUGUGGUUUAAUUCGAUGAUACGCGAGGAACCUUACCCGGGCUUGAAUUGCAGAGGAAGGAUUUGGAGACAAUGACGCCCUUCGGGGCCUCUGUGAAGGUGCUGCAUGGUUGUCGUCAGCUCGUGCCGUGAGGUGUCGGCUUAAGUGCCAUAACGAGCGCAACCCCUCUCCUUAGUUGCCAUCAGGUUAAGCUGGGCACUCUGGGGACACUGCCACCGUAAGGUGUGAGGAAGGUGGGGAUGACGUCAAAUCAGCACGGCCCUUACGUCCGGGGCUACACACGUGUUACAAUGGCAGGUACAGAGAGACGGUCCCUUGCAAAACGGAUCAAAUCCUUAAAGCCUGUCUCAGUUCGGACUGGGGUCUGCAACCCGACCCCACGAAGCUGGAUUCGCUAGUAAUCGCGCAUCAGCCAUGGCGCGGUGAAUACGUUCCCGGGCCUUGUACACACCGCCCGUCAAGCCAUGAAAGCCGGGGGCGCCUAAAGUCCGUGACCGUAAGGAGCGGCCUAGGGCGAAACUGGUAAUUGGGGCUAAGUCGUAACAAGGUA